rnacentral:rRNA from 1 species
UAGUAUAUAAUUAUUUAUUGAAACUUAAAUAUUUUGGCGGUAUUUUAGUUUAUUUAGAGGAAUCUGUUUAUUAAUUGAUAAUCCACGAAUAAAUUUACUUAAUUUAUUAUUUUGUAUAUCGUUGUUAAAAAAAUAUUUUUUAAUAAUUAUAAUAUUUUAAAAUUAUAAUAUAAAAUUAAAUCAAAUCAAGAUGCAGAUUAUAAUUGAGAAUAUAAUGGAUUACAAUAAAUUUAUUUAAAUGAAUUUUAAUUUGUAAUAAUUAAAUGAAAGUGGAUUUAAAUGUAAUUUUAUUUAUUUUAAUAAAAUGAUUAAGAGKUAAAAUAUGUGCGCG